CACCAAGAAGCUAUAUAGCAUUAACCUUUUAAGUUAAAGACUGAGAGAACAGCACUCUCCUUGGUGA
rnacentral:tRNA from 1 species